UGAGAUGAUUCAGUAGAAAAGGCCCAC
rnacentral:piRNA from 1 species